AUUGAACGCUGGCGGCAGGCCUAACACAUGCAAGUCGAGCGAGCGGCGCACGGGUGAGUAAUGUAUGGGAAACUGCCCGAUGGAGGGGGAUAACUACUGGAAACGGUAGCUAAUACCGCAUACCAUAAGAUGUGCCCAGAUGGGAUUAGCUCGUAGGUGGGGUAACGGCUCACCUAGGCGACGAUCCGUAGCUGGUCUGCGAGGAUGACCUGCCACACUGGAACUGAGACCCGGCCAAGACUCCUACGGGAGGCAGCAGUGGGUAAUAUUGCACAAUGGGCGCAAGCCUGAUGCAGCCAUGCCGCGUGUAGGAAGAGGGCCUUCGGGUUGUAAAGUACUUUCAGCGGGGAGGCGUUACCCGCAGAAGAAGCACCGGCUAACUCCGUGCCAGCAGCCGCGGUAAUAC
rnacentral:rRNA from 1 species